rnacentral:rRNA from 1 species
GCGGUCUGCUUAACACAUGCAAGUCGAACGGGCUCUUCGGAGCUAGUGGCGGACGGGUGAGUAACGCGUGAGAAUCUGCCUUCAGGAGGGGGAUAACGACUGGAAACGGUCGCUAAUACCCCAUAUGCCUCCGGGUGAAAAGUAAUUCGCCUGAAGAUGAGCUCGCGUCAGAUUAGCUAGUUGGUGGGGUAAGAGCCUACCAAGGCGACGAUCUGUAGCUGGUCUGAGAGGAUGAUCAGCCACACUGGGACUGAGACACGGCCCAGACUCCUACGGGAGGCAGCAGUGGGGAAUUUUCCGCAAUGGGCGCAAGCCUGACGGAGCAAGACCGCGUGGGGGAUGACGGCCUAAUGGUUGUAAACCCCUUUUCUCUGGGAAGAAGACUGACGGUACCAGAGGAAUCAGCCUCGGCUAACUCCGUGCCAGCAGCCGCGGUAAUACGGAGGAGGCAAGCGUUAUCCGGAAUUAUUGGGCGUAAAGCGUCCGUAGGUGGUUAUUCAAGUCUGCUGUCAAAGCGUGGGGCUUAACUCCAUAGAGGCAGUGGAAACUGAGUGACUAGAGUGCGGUAGGGGUCGAGGGAAUUCCCAGUGUAGCGGUGAAAUGCGUAGAUAUUGGGAAGAACACCAGUGGCGAAAGCGCUCGACUGGGCCUGCACUGACACUGAGGGACGAAAGCUAGGGGAGCGAAAGGGAUUAGAUACCCCUGUAGUCCUAGCCGUAAACGAUGGAUACUAGGUGUUGCUCGUCAUCGACCCGAGCAGUGCCGUAGCCAACGCGUUAAGUAUCCCGNCUGGGGAGUACGCUCGCAAGAGUGAAACUCA